rnacentral:rRNA from 1 species
CAGGCCUAACACAUGCAAGUCGAGCGGUAACAGGGGUAGCUUGCUACCCGCUGACGAGCGGCGGACGGGUGAGUAACGCAUAGGAAUUUACCCGGUAGUGGGGGAUAACCUGGGGAAACCCAGGCUAAUACCGCAUACGUCCUACGGGAGAAAGGGGGCUCCGGCUCCCGCUAUCGGAUGAGCCUAUGCCGGAUUAGCUGGUUGGUGAGGUAAUGGCUCACCAAGGCGACAAUCCGUAGCUGGUCUGAGAGGAUGAUCAGCCACAUCGGGACUGAGACACGGCCCGAACUCCUACGGGAGGCAGCAGUGGGGAAUAUUGGACAAUGGGGGCAACCCUGAUCCAGCCAUGCCGCGUGUGUGAAGAAGGCCCUCGGGUUGUAAAGCACUUUCAGCGAGGAAGAACGCCUAUCGGUUAAUACCCGGCAGGAAAGACAUCACUCGCAGAAGAAGCACCGGCUAACUCCGUGCCAGCAGCCGCGGUAAUACGGAGGGUGCAAGCGUUAAUCGGAAUUACUGGGCAUAAAGCGCGCGUAGGUGGCUUGAUAAGCCGGUUGUGAAAGCCCCGGGCUCAACCUGGGAACGGCAUCCGGAACUGUCAAGCUAGAGUGCAGGAGAGGAAGGUAGAAUUCCCGGUGUAGCGGUGAAAUGCGUAGAGAUCGGGAGGAAUACCAGUGGCGAAGGCGGCCUUCUGGACUGACACUGACACUGAGGUGCGAAAGCGUGGGUAGCAAACAGGAUUAGAUACCCUGGUAGUCCACGCCGUAAACGAUGUCGACCAGCCGUU